AUGUUUCCCUGUACUAACAAUGCAGCUGAGUAUGAGGCCUUGCUCCAUGGUCUUCGGAUGGCUAAAGAGAUGAACUUAAUCCGGGUACAUUGCUUCGGGGACUCCGAUUCAGUGGCUCAACAAGUGUCUAGUACUUGGGAUUCUAAGGAUCCACUCAAGGCGGCUUAUCGGCGUGAGGUGGAUGUCAUUGCUGGUCACUUCAAGGGUUACCAGGUCGAGCACAUUGAUCGGCACAAGAAUGAAGCGGCGGAUGCUUUAAGCCGGCUCGGAUCUCAGCAUAAACCAGUGCCGCCCAAUGUCUUUCUUGACAUCUUGCAUAACCCGUCAGUCAAAAUACCAACGGAGGAGGAUCUGGCUGUUCCCGACCCAGAGGCUCAAUUGGUGGCGGUUCUUCAUGCUAUCCCUGAUUGGACGGUGCCCUACUUGGCAUAUAUGACCCGGGGCGAGUUACCUGAGGACAAAGUUUUGGCCAGAUAG
rnacentral:rRNA from 1 species